rnacentral:rRNA from 2 species
GACGUAGGGCGCGAGCGUUGUCCGGAUUUAUUGGGCGUAAAGAGCUCGUAGGCGGCUUGUCGCGUCGAAUGUGAAAACUCGGGGCUCAACCCCGCGCUUGCAUUCGAUACGGGCAGGCUCGAGUUCGGUAGGGGAGACUGGAAUUCCUGGUGUAGCGGUGAAAUGCGCAGAUAUCAGGAGGAACACCGGUGGCGAAGGCGGGUCUCUGGGCCGAUACUGACGCUGAGGAGCGAAAGCGUGGGGAGCGAACAGG